rnacentral:rRNA from 1 species
CCCUUAGAUGUUCUGGGCUGCACGCGCGCUACACUGACAUGUCCAGCGAGCUCCCAACCUGCUCGGCAAAGAAUGGGUACCCUUUUUAACGCAUGUCGUGAUGGGGAUAGAUUAUUGCAAUUAUUAGUCUUGAACGAGGAAUUCCUAGUAAGCACAAGUCAUCGGCUUGUGUUGAUUACGUCCCUGCCCUUUGUACACACCGCCCGUCGCUCCUACCGAUUGAAUGUUCCGGUGAGCUCUUCGGACUGCGCGGUCUGCAGUUUCUGCGUUCCGUGCGGAAAGUUGUGCAAACCUUAACAUUUAGAGGAAGGAGAAGUCGUAACA